rnacentral:rRNA from 1 species
UACGUAGGGUGCAAGCGUUGUCCGGAAUUAUUGGGCGUAAAGAGCUCGUAGGCGGUUUGUCGCGUCUGCUGUGAAAACUCGGGGCUUAACCCCGGGCCUGCAGUGGGUACGGGCAGACUAGAGUGCGGUAGGGGAGACUGGAAUUCCUGGUGUAGCGGUGAAAUGCGCAGAUAUCAGGAGGAACACCGGUGGCGAAGGCGGUUCUCUGGGAAUGUACUGACGCUGAGGAGCGAAAGCGUGGGGAGCGAACAGG